CAAGGCAAAACACGGCACUGGGUGUCUGGGAGAACUGCUCAUUUUCCUGCUGUUGCCCAUCUCCAGCCGACCCCUGUACCAGUGGUGCUGGCAGGAGCUUGCCUGUUCUCUGCUCGGAAACAGCUUGCAGCUCUGGGCACCAUGUUCUGGCAGCUGUGCACUCCCAGCAAGGCAAGAGAGGACGGGAGCUGGCUGGGGGAGAAGCCCGUUCUCCUCCAAAUGACAGAUAGAGAAGCCCUUGGGCAUUGCACUGAGUGGCAGGGGUUUUCUUUCUAGUCUGUCAAGGAACAGUUAACUGGAAACGGGCUGUGUAGUUUAGGCAUGCAUGGAGCAUUAUAGACAGCUCAGACUCUGAAAGACUGGAAGCAGAAAUGAGUCAUUUACUAGGACCAUCUUUAAGAUGGCAGAAAUAUAUAUUUACACUAUGUAGAAUUUAAUCAGUGUUUUAAUCAGUCACAGGUUUUUAAUGGGAGUAGACCUUUGUUCUUUCCCUGGUUAUAAUUUUGCAUCUUUCAAUUCUUUCUUUGGGAAGCAAGAUGAGUUUUGCCAUGUGUUAAAGUUUUUUCUCCAUGUCUUUGUUUUCCUUGACAUCUACUUGCUCAUCACAUCUUGAAAACUCCCAGGAGAGGGCCUGACUUGCUUUGGGGUGGUUGAAGCACCUUACUCCUGACUAUCUCUCAGUGAUUCCUUUCCCUCACUCAGUAACAAGAACCUUAAUUCAUCCAGCUUCCUGAAGCAGUGUGCUAGAAAAGAGAGUGCAGGAGUGCUCCAAGGCUUGUACGAUCACUCAGAGAGACGAUUGCUGUAGACUCAACAUCUCCACACACUGGAUAUUUGUUACAGCCAUAAGCUGCUUUGCAGCUCUGGACACAUGGAUUCAUAGAAUCAUUUCAGUUGGAAGAGACCCCCAGGAUCAUCGAGUCCAACCAUAACCUAACCUAACUCCAGCACUAAACCAUGUCCCUAUGAACCUCAUCUAAACACUUUUCAAACACCUUCAGGGAUAGUGACUCCACCACAUCCCUGGGCAGCCUGUUCCAAUGUCUGACAACCCUUUCCGUGAAUAAAUUUUUCCUAAUAUCCAAUCUGAACCUCCCCUGAUGCAACUUGAAGCUAUUUCCUCUUGUCCUAUCACUUGCAUGCCCUUGCUUGUCCUAUUGCAUGCUUGUCCUAUCACAUGAAGAGCUUUCCCAUGUUACCUGAUAAGCCAAAUUACUUAUCUCCACAAUUCUUCAAAUAAAUUUCCCGAUAUGCCGAUGGGUAUAGGAAAAGA